rnacentral:rRNA from 1 species
UACGUAGGGUGCAAGCGUUGUCCGGAAUUACUGGGCGUAAAGCGUGCGCAGGCGGUUCGUUGUGUCGGCGGUGAAAGCCCCGGGCUUAACCUGGGAAUGGCCGUUGAAACUGGCGAACUGGAGUGUGGCAGAGGGGGUGGAAUUCCGCGUGUAGCAGUGAAAUGCGUAGAGAUGCGGAGGAACACCGAUGGCGAAGGCAGCCCCCUGGGCUAACACUGACGCUCAGGCACGAAAGCGUGGGGAGCAAACAGG